CCUUUACCACCACCUCCUGCUACAUGAUGUUGGUGUACGGCUCUUUUUAAAGCAGAAGCACCUUUUAAAGCAGCAACACCAGUAGCAGCAGCACCAGCUGCACCAACGGCACCUAAACCAACUAGAGGUAAAAAUGUUAAAGACCUCCUAUUUCUUUUAUUUUCUGCCAUUUCUUUGGACAAAUCCGGAUGCUGAAGUAAAUUAUGUUCAUUUUCAUCAACAUUAAGAAUACCAGCAAUUACAUAACCAUCCAUAAAAUAAGCAUAAAAGACAAGAGGCACAACCAUCCAAGUAAAAACACCCAUCUUAUCUAAAAGCUUAAGCGAAGGUUAAACUACAAUAAUCUGAUUAUACAAUAAGGCAUGUAAGAAAUUGUGAAUUCAAGCUUUUAGAAUUCUGCCAUUUGAUUUUUUUUCCUUUUUUUUCUUUUUCUCGUUGCUUACCUUAUUAAGAAAUUAAAUAUUUAUAGAGAAAUAUUGACUUUAUAAAGAAAAUUAACAAAUGGUCGAGCUUUAAGCAUGGGAGUAAGAAAUCGUUUAACCAUUCAUUCAGUAAAAAGAACCCAUAUUGUAAAUUAUUCAACUUAUUAACGAAAUUUUUUCCCCUUCAUUUUCUCAACCAGCAAUUGAAUAAAUAGCAACUUUUUCCAUUAAAAACAUGAUUUCGAAUAAAAUCAUUUUUUUUUUGGAAUAAUGGUAUCUCCAUGCCCAUUAGCUACUCACAAAGAGUAAUCCAUUCAUAGUUCGUGAUUAUCACUCCCAACAAUUUUAUCUCCAAAAUUUGAAUCUAAAUUCUCUCCUUGAAAGUACCAUUAAAACCAAAUUUGAUACUAUCACAUUUAAAACCAAAUAUGAAAUAAUUAUAUCGAUUAAAUUACAUUUUUGUAUGUGUCAAACCAAAAUGACUAUGUCAAUUGCACUAUUAUUUCUUGUGUAAGAGAAAAGAAUUUAGGUAUGGGUGACAUACUGUUUAAGGAAAAAUUAAAUAAAAAGAAUUAGUAAUAAUUUCAACAAAUAAUAAUUCCAUGAUGAGCUAAAAAGUAGGAUUUUUUGAAAACAUAAUCUUUAGUUAUUUGAGUAAAAAAAACGUAUUGGACCAAAAUACAUUACAUAAGGAUAUUGAGGAUUAAUGUGGAACAAAUGGUGUUUGGAUUUUAUGCACAUAGAAGCCAAUCACUUGGAAGAUUAAUGUUUCACUAGGCAUUAUAAAUGCACAGACUCCCAUUUACACAUUUAAUAACAUUGAAUUUUAUUAGUAUAUGAAUCCUUUCAAUGCAAUUAAGCCUUUUUACUUUUCCUUUUCCUUUCCCUUUUCCUUCUAAGGUAUACAAAAAUCAAAUAAAAUGGUAUUACUAUACCAACAUUACAUAUUAACUUAUGUACCAAAAAUGAAUCAUGAGAAAUUAAACAGUAAGUAGUAGGCAAAAACCUCUUUUUUUUUUGGAAUACAAAGAAACUUUAAUUUUUUUUAUUGGUUUAACUAAAGUAAUUAAAUUUAAUAUACCAAGAAAAGUAAAAUAAGUAAAAAUUUAGGAUAUUUCUAUAAUCUAUCUCGAACUGUUUCUUAUCAUUUUUAUUAAGAAGUGAAUUUUUUACAUGUUAAGGGUGAGACCGAAAGGGUACUCCCAGUUAAGGGUGGUAAAUCACUCAAUUAAAGGUAAUUAGUGGCUUAAUUGAUAAUUAGGAAUUCAAUCGAUUCUAAGCUUGGAGCUCAUAUCGUUGAAACUAGGAGUAGGAAGGAAAUUGUGAUAGAUUAGUUUAGGUUAGUUAAUUUAAUUUGAUUUAUUGUUAUUCCAAUUUUGAACCAGCAGCACUACUAAUUUGUAACCCAAUUGUAAUUAUUUUUAGGUAAUUAAUUUAGUAAUAAUUUUCUCCAAUAUAAUAAUCUCUUAAGUACAAUACUCUUUCAAGCAUUUCGUUGUAGAUUAACGAUAUUACAAUUUGAUCUAUAUACUUGCAAAUAAUUUACUUCAUAUUCACAUAUUUAAUUGCAUAUUUACAAUCUUGGUGCACGACCAUGUUUUCCAACAAAAUACGUUGCUUUAUCCAUCCAGUCAUAAUCUUUCAUCCCUACAAACAUCCUUACAUGCUAUGUUUGCAGGUAGUACCAACAACUCGUCUUCAACUUACAACAGACUAAGUUGGGGGAUAACCCACACAAAAGGAUUCCAUUUCUUUUCGCAACAACGAGUAAAGUAGCUCACUAAUAUGGCCCAGUCCUUAGGUAAAAUUGUUUAAGGUUUAGACUAUCCAAAUUCAGCACUCAUAAAAGAAUGGCUGAAGUGGUAAGUGAAAACCUUCCCUAAAAAUUUGUCAAUAAAAGAACAAAUGAUUUUUUCAUCCCUCUUAGAACCCUACUACAGUCUCUACCUUUCACUCCAAAGUAUACAUAUCUACAGAAUGGGGGAAUAACACCAGCAGCAACUGAAGGAGAAUGACCCUAGUGGUACCCUUUCUCAUCACACUUUACAUUUUCAACUCAAGAAGAAAGAAACCAAGAAAAGAAGAAGCUACAAGGAAUGAAAAAAAUCACAGAAACAUUUCAAAACAUGAGAAAGGAGUGUCCAUGAAAGAGGUAUCUUCUAAAGAGAAAAUUGUAGUAAAAAGAAGAAAAUAUUUGCAAAUAAAAUUUAUAACUACAACACCACUAAACAUCCCAAACAUGUGGUGCCACUCUACAAUGAUCACUCUUCCCCUCAUUAUUGCACAUUAUCCCCAAGGCUAGUGUGUCAGUCACCAUUGAAAAGGUGCCAACUCUCACAAUACUCAAUAGCAACAUUUAUUAUUGGUCUUCUACAAGCCACUUCAAAUGGGGGACUAUUAUUUAUGCAAAACACUUCAUGGGCUCUAACACAGAGUAACAAGCACAAGCUCAAACCCAAAUAAGCAAAAACAACUCAUUAUGCAGACUAGUCAAAUGAUAAAAAGCCAACCAAGGGUAUAAAGGAAUUUCCCUAACAGAGUACAAAUGCAUCUUCACUAAGCAUCUUGUCCUUCUCCCACAUUCUUGGGAAAAACAGUUCAGAAAACAGUUUUAUUACAAAGUGGAAGUUUUUUUUUUCUAAAAUUGAGUAUUUGUGAUAUUUAUAGCAAUUAAUAUUUUACUCGAAAUAUUUAUUUUUUUCUAAAUAAGUGGAAUAAGUCAUAUAUAACAUGCAACAUUUCGAUCUUCCCCACUAAUCUCGACCUCGACUUGCUAGAGUUUCAAUCCAACAAUGUGUGAUCGAAAACUAAUAUUUUAAUUAUAAAAUUACUCCUACAAGGUGUACAUACAGUGUGCGGCGACAACCCCUUUCUAGAACUAAGCGUCACCCACUAUUAUAUAUUAGGCUUACUUGGAUCUCGUCAUGUAUUAGGUACAAUUAUAUUUGUUAUCUUAUCUUUAGAUCAACUCAUAAUUUAUCCAAUCC
rnacentral:lncRNA from 1 species